UUUUUUUCUAAAUAGCCUUAGCAAUAAUUGUUAAAUGGCUUUUGUUUUCAUUUUUUAGACUACUCGAUCACCUAGAACACUAUUCAAAAAGUGUUUUUUGAAAAUAAUCUAUUGUUUUAGUUGUUUCCCUUGCUGCAAAAUACUUUUGAGUAAAAUAUGCAAUAGCUGGCAAUUAAAAAUGAAAAAAAACAAACAACAGCAACAGAAAUCUUUUUUAAUGUUUGUUUUAAAUCAAAACAAUAUUAGAGUUUAAAUGUUGAAGACUGCAGUAGCCAAAAUGGGACAAAGUAUUCCUGAAUUCCCUUUUAGGACUUCACUUAUUUCUAUGUUAAUAACAGGAAUAGUUAACUUGAAAAAAAGUAUGAUAAAUCAAUAUGAAAACUACAAUAAACAUUGUUAUAUGAGCAAUAUUUUUG